CCUACGGGAGGCUGCAGUGGGGAAUAUUGCACAAUGGGGGAAACCCUGAUGCAGCGACGCCGCGUGAAGGAAGAAGUAUCUCGGUAUGUAAACUUCUAUCAGCAGGGAAGAAAGUGACGGUACCUGACUAAGAAGCCCCGGCUAAUUACGUGCCAGCAGCCGCGGUAAUACGUAAGGGGCAAGCGUUAUCCGGAUUUACUGGGUGUAAAGGGAGCGUAGACGGAGAGGCAAGUCUGAUGUGAAAGGCAUGGGCUCAACCUGUGGACUGCAUUGGAAACUGUUUUUCUAGAGUGCCGGAGAGGCAGGCGGGAUUCCUAGUGUAGCGGUGAAAUGCGUAGAUAUUAGGAGGAACACCAGUGGCGAAGGCGGCCUGCUGGACGGUAACUGACGUUGAGGCUCGAAAGCGUGGGGAGCAAACAGGAUUAGAUACCCCGGUAGUC
rnacentral:rRNA from 1 species